rnacentral:rRNA from 1 species
UACGGAGGGAGCUAGCGUUGUUCGGAAUUACUGGGCGUAAAGCGCACGUAGGCGGCUUUGUAAGUUAGAGGUGAAAGCCCGGGGCUCAACUCCGGAACUGCCUUUAAGACUGCAUCGCUUGAAUCCAGGAGAGGUGAGUGGAAUUCCGAGUGUAGAGGUGAAAUUCGUAGAUAUUAGGAAGAACACCGGUGGCGAAGGCGGCCCACUGGUCCGGUACUGACGCUGAGGUGCGAAAGCGUGGGGAGCAAACAGG